UUCUCUGUCCUUCUCACUCACCCAAUUCUAGUGUUUUUCCGUGCUUUUGAUUUGAUUUUUGAGUAGUUUACCAAAUAUUCGUCGUAAUUAAUCUUUCUUGUAUUGAGUUCAUAACUUAGAAGUAUGGCCAUUAGUUAAUUCACAGAGCAUUUUACAUUUUCUAGGCGUCUGUGGGAAAGGAUACUAUAAUUCUGGUUUAAACUUUCUUCAAGGCGAGGGAAAGAUUGUUACCCUUGAAGGGGCAAUAUCAAUUGCCUGGCAGUGUUUGGACAUUCUCAAGAGUGUUAAGAUUCCAACGAGGGGUUGCUCAGUAUGCAAAAUAAUGUGGGUAAUAUACAAUACGGAAGCUUUCUCGGUUCCAAUGGAAGUGAUUUCCAUUUACGUAACUGGUUAUGUAGAAGUGAUGAAUGCACUUUGGAGAUGGAAAAACAGCUUGUAUGGGCAGCUGGGUAGGAGACAAAGUCCAAUCAUGAAUAACAUGUCAUAUCUUUUGCAAGCCCAUUACAACUUAUGCCAUGUCAAAGGGUUUCCCACCAAGUUGCCUUCAAUCUUACUCUCUCUCUUCUGUUACAAAUUUCUAUCUCAUGCACUCACCUCGCAGGUGCAUUUGUUGAUCUUCUUUUUUCAUGUUCCAACCAUCUUAAUCUUUAAACCACUUGUUUACGAUCUUUUAUUCACCUCUACCUAUACGAUGUAAUUGGUAAACAUGAGCCGUGGAAUUUAAUAGAUACUGAUGUCAUUUAUUAUGUUUCCACUACAAUACCACAUUGGAAGGAUAGAUGAGCUUGCCUAGGCACUCAAGUCACUUCAAGGCCCCAUGCUUGUCUACCUCUGUGACAUUGGAAUGUGGAUAGGCUGCUCAAUCCAAUCUUGGUGAGGUUGAAACCCCCCAAACUAAUGAACAAAGUUGAUGUAGAUGAAUGGCCAAAUCACCACCUUGGUGGGUCACACCAAGGAUACAGUUACACUCAAAUCCUUAAGAAUCCGCCACAAGGGAAAAGAGCAAAUAAGAGAAAUCUUUCUCUAAAGAAGACUUAUUAUUUCAUUCAAAUUAAUGAUAAAACUACCACAUAACAUUAAAACUACCACAUAACAUCCCUAUUUAUAGAAGGGAAUCCUAAACUAAAGAAGAAAAUAAUUAUAAUAGGAAUAGGAAUCCACCUCCAAAUAAGAAAUAAGAAUCCAAAACCAAAAGGAAAUAUGAAUCCUAAAUCAAAAACGAAAAAUAAAAUCUAUUCUCAAAUAAUUAGGAAUCCUAAACUGUAUCACUUUGGUUGAGGUGAUUCACAUGAGACUAUGCCUACACGUGACCUCAGAUGAGGUGACAUGUGUUCAAGGUGCUCUUGUAGGUGUAAAAAGAAAGUGAAGAAAAUUUGUCCCUGGAAAUCAAAAUGGCAGUUUGAUGCUGAAAAUAAAAGGAAAUAGAAACAAAUGGGAAAAAAGGACAUCACUAUUGAUUCAUUGCUAUUGUCCACACAAUCACCAUAAUCUGCCUUCUCAAUUUCUUUCUCUCUUCCUUUGUAGCUAGAAAGUUCACCAUGACGUAGAUCAUAAGAAGGUAAAUUGGAGAAGAGUCAGUGGAGGUUUCCUGGGGCUCUUGCAUGCUGAGGGGUUUCGUUGAGUGAGGUCACUCGUCGAUGAACCUAUAGCACAUGUGGCACAUGGUUAACCUUCCAGGUUGUUUCUCUUCACUGGAAUGCUUGCCGGUGGUAGGCAGUCCCUUUGAUGGCUAUCCUUCUCUCAUUCUCCCUAUGGUCUAGACUCUUUUUGUUUUGUGGCUUAGUGAUGCAGAUGACACCAAAUCUCUAUGUUUCUUCUCUUUGGAACUCUGGUGUGUUGCUUUCUUUGGCCUUAUAAUUGGGUUAUUGAUGGAUUAUUAUAUUACAGAAUUAUUUUAGUUUCACUUCAUUCUUUAUUGCUUGAUAAUAUGUCAUGUCCUUUUUAAUUUAUUAGUAUUGUUCCUACUGGUACAAAAAAUGGCUUUUGAAUUUGUUUCCUUAAUUGGAAGUGGGAAAGAAAGAUCUAGCUAGGAAAUAUAAUUUUUUGCAAAAAUCCCAAAGAUGCUUGUUUGAACAUUAUCCAUUAUGCAAGAGCCCCGAAGUUAUUUGUUUGAACAUUAUUAAAAUAACUUGUAUUUGAGUGUAUUUUAGAAGUUUUAUAUAUGUUAUCUGAUUAUCUUUUUUAUGUUAGAUAUGUUUAUUCAAUUUUUGUCCUAUAAAGCACGGAAACUUCCUAGGGGAGUCUGUUGUACUAGUGGCCUUGGCGUGUCAAACAUUGCGAGAUGCCUCCGACACGUAUCGGGCAUGCCAACAUGAUGCGUCCAACACUUCCUUAUAACUUUUUAAAAGGAUACAUGAGGAGCCACGCGUAGGACACUUGUAGAACAUGCAUGUCCCCUAUGCAAACACUUUGAACUUUGACGACUAAAAACUAAGAGUUUUCUUUUUUACUCUUUAGUUUUACGACUUGAUAAUUGCAUAAUUCUUUUUUUUUCCAUGUUUUGAUGGCAUGAGUGUUCAGUUUUCAUACCCUUCAUGCUUCUAUUCUCUAGCUCUUUAAAUAUUGACUGGAUUGUGAGGGACAAAUAUAACUAGACUAGACUGUGAGUUAAUUGCUAGAUGAGAGUUAUUCAUUUAAAAUUUUGGCUUAUGAAUUUUAAAUGCAUAUUUGUGAGUUUGGAAUGUAUUUUGGAUCUUUUGAUACUUGUUUAUGCUUUAAAAAUAUCAAAAUUAUUUUAUUAAUAAACAUAUCUCAAUGGUGUCAUGCCCUAACUUUUUAAAUAUGGUGUGUCUCAUGUUUCGUGUUCGUGUUUCAUAGUUUUUGUCAAGUUAGUGCCUUGCUUUGCUUAGAUGAGUGCUUUUUGGGGGUGUCUAAUGCCUCGGGCAAUAAAUAUCAUAGCGCCUUAUGGGUUCGUGUCUUUUUUGACUACCUUGGGAUAAAUACUUUUUAGGUGUUGUACUUGUUUCCAAUGUGUACUGAACUCAUAUACUGAUCAGACAGGUUAGGAUAUUGUCACGACAAUGCUGUGACAACCGGCAGCUUCCUUGGUUCAGUGUGAACCUAGGCAGCGAACUAAAUAGAGAGGAAGAAAGAAGAGGGAAAUGUAGAAGAGAAGUGGAGGGAGAAAGAGAAAUAAGAGAGAGGAUAACAGAUUCUUUGAUUGAAUUCUUGAAUGCUGUUACAGAAGAGAGGAUAGGCUUAUAUAGCCUUGCCGAGAGCGUGGCCACACAGGAUCACUCCUCCUCUAACAAACCUUUUUGUCAUAUUAGACACCUGGCAGAUUCUGCUAUAACAACCUACCUAGCUGGAAAGUAAACCAUAACAAACUAUCUAGCUGGAAAGUGAACAAUUGCAAAGGAAUAAAAUACUAGGAAUUACAUAUAGGAAAUAACCGAUCCUUAGCUCAAAAUUUUAACCGCAACCAUAGCCUUUUCUGUCUUUUUCUGGUCUCGUGUCGUGACAGAUAUAUGUUGAACACCCAAAUGACCUUACUAAUUUUUUGUCAAUGUUUUCAUUUUGGACAUGUUUCAGAAACAUGAAGGGAAUGUGUGUGACUAUGAGGUAAACAUUGUGGGAAGACAUGGCAGAAUUUUUAGAACUUUGCACAACGUAAAAUGUAUAAAUUUUGGAUAAAGUAAAGGAAUAAAAAAUUGAGCCCGAAUCACUAUCUAAGCAAUUUUUUUUUUGGGUCUAAAUGAUGGUUAUAUUAUGAUUAUUAUUAAAGGAUUGAUACUGUGUUUUCAAUUUUUUGUAUUAUCAUGAUUGUAGAAUGACUGGAUUCUUCAUAUUUUUAUUGGCAUUUUUAAGUUUUUUAGGGCCCAUUUGAAUUUGUAUUAGCUUCCAAAUUAUAUUGUUCAUUCCCAAAAUUUCAAAAUGAAAACUGAAAACCAUGUUUGAUCUUGUGUUUGGUGUUAAAAAAAUGACAACCCAAGUAGAAAAGAAUGAAGAUUUUGGAAAUACCCUAAACUUCUUUUUGUGUUGAGUUCAUUUUAUUUGCUCUCUCUCUCUAUGUACAAUUAAUUAUAAUAUUAUAGAUAUUUCAAUAAUAAUAAUAUUAUUAAUUAUUUAUAACAUAAAGUAAUAUAUAUUAGAAUAAUUCAAUUAUUCAUUAGUAUUCAUAUGCAGAAGUAAAAAUGACAUCAAAGGAAUAGGACUGGACUUGGCUUUGUGUAGCAUAUUGGAAAUCAUGACUGAAAGAAAGGUGGUAUUGAGUAAGGCAUGGACUUUUGUCAUGAUUGACUGGUUUUUAAAAUAUUUAUCAGUAUCUUUUAACAUAUUAAAACAUUAGCUUGUUAUGGAUAUAUUGAGUAUCAUUUAUUGGUAAAUUCUGUUUUUUUUUUUUGGUAAAGUGUAAAUUCUAUUUUUUAUUUUAUUUAAAUACAUAUUCUACUAUUGAUUUAAAUUUAUGACAAGUGGAAUUUAUUGAAUGACUAAACUAGUUAACCAUGAACAAGUACAUUGACCUGAUAAAUAUGCUCUGAUCUCAUUAGAAAUCAGACAUAUGGCCUAUGCUACUAUCUAUUUAGAUCAUGUCAUUGCAUAGGAAUCAUUACAAGGGACAGCAUGCAACAAUGUGGAUUCAGUGCGAGCGAUCUGCAAAGAUGAAUUGCUACUGUUAGUGCCUUUUAUGCCUGCGUUGGCUUAUAAGUAUUUGUACAAGUUUUUUGUAGCACAAAGUUGUGGUCUCUGUAUACUGCCCAAACAUGUAAGUAAAUUUAUGCUGUAUGAUAGGAGUCCCAUUCAAAAACAUGGGAAAAUUCAGUACGCCAGAUGGUGUUGGUUUUUAACAUCAUGAUUAUAUGCUUCAGCAUAAAUCAGGUAAGGGGAGAUUGAAAACCUUUACUAGAAUACUUAUUCUAACUCGACAGAUAAAGUAAAAUGAAUAAUUAAUCAGUGAUUGGAAACCUAACAAACACAAUGUGCUCCUUAAAUGGUUCUAUUUGGGGGCUUGAAUUUAUGUCAGAUUCAUCAUGGAUGCUGUCUUCUCUCUUUUUGGGGACAUUAUACACCCCAAGAUGAGAACUAUUUUUUUAGAUGAUGUGAUGAUAAAUUAUCAAACAUGUUUUGUAGCAGUAUAACAGCUAAAUAGAUCUAAUACAGUAAAGACAACAAUGAAAAAGAAUAACUAAAUGGGAUAGAUUUAAUGAUAGGAAGUUUAAAAAAAUCCAAGAAAAGAAAAGAAAAGAAAAAGGAUCUUAAUUGUUAGGUGGGAAAAUUUUUUUAGUUGAUUUUACCCCCUUGUGUCAAAGAUCCCAGGAGGCCGGCCCUUAAGUUACCAUUUUCUGAGUAGACAUAAAUAAGUCCUCUAGGUUUGAGCCAUGUGUCCAUAUUGUGCAUGUGGGUGGUAGGGACUAGCAAUGACUGCAGCUUGCUAUUUGGAUAAGGGUGUUCCAAGUGCACGAGUCUUCCUGCUUUGUGAGGGUUAAGGGAGGAUUAUUUCUGUACCCAACUGCCCUUGUUUUGAACAAUGCAUUAUGUGCACAUGCGUGUGUUAUGGCAGUUUAGUUUUCAGUUUUGUAGGGCUGCAGUUUGGUUUUUAGGUUCUUAUGGCCAUUCCUUUUUUUUGUUUCAGUCUUCUCUGUCAGUUUCGCUUUCUUAUGUAAUCUCCAUGUGCAGUUAUAAACAUGGGAGUAGUUUUCGAUUGGUGGUUAUUUAGUUUUAGUUUUCAAAUUCAGUUGUAUUUUAAAAGGAGGGGAAGUUAAUGAAAGUACUAAGCAGAUAUUCCUUCAAAGUUGAGUUCCUUAAACUUAGAGAUUGAAGAAUUCUCUCCAAUGAGCUUUUGUUUGCGGUUAUCUAUAAAGAGAAAAAUAGGUUUUAAGGGUGGGAAAACAUAUAAACACAACCUUUCAAUAAAUCCUUUCCUUGAAGUUCAAGUACAUUGCCCUAUAACUAGAUCACAGACUUGGGACGGUAACAGCGUAUUAGGGACAUGCAAUAGUUUCCUUGAUCCCCAUUGUUGAACUGCAUUGAUGGAUUCUAAUGGUGGUGAUGGCAAUGACUGCUGCUUGUCAGUUAGAUUAAGGUGUCCCGAGUGGACGAUGCUUCCUACUGCUAGGGUUGGAAGAUGAUCGUUUUUGUACAAUAUCUUAUCCUUUCUCUAUAAAGAGGCUAUUUCCACAACUAGAACCUGGGUCCUCCAAGUCAGAAAAGGAGCACGUUAUUGCUGCUUGCUAUUUUUGAUUAAUGGAGAGAUUACAGUGGCAAGUCAAGUGAAAUGGAUUUGUGUUGGGCUUUGAGAUCAAACUGCUGUAGAACCAGUCAAGGAGAAAGAAAACUGAGAGUGAAAGGGUAAAGAAGUAUGCAAAGGAGGGAACAAAAAGAGAAGAGAGAUUAGACUGGAGAAAAUAGGAGGGGAAUAGUAUUAGGCUGAUGACAUAGAGAAAGAAUAUAGGGGAGAACCAAAAGAAGAGAAGAAAAGCAGGGGAAGGAGAAGAAAAUAGGAGAAAAAAUUAACACAGGGAAAUGAGGGCAGGGCAGGGCAUGAUUGAAGAAGUUUGUUCUCUGAAUCCUUAGUGAGAAUAGGGCAACAUCAUAUUAGUGCAUAGUAUUCCUGAUAGGGAUAAGGAUGGGGAUAUUUUGAUAUUGUUUCCUAUUUUUAUUUUAAAGAUUAUAUUUUGAUUAGCUUUUAUCUUGCUAUCUUAUUUUGAUUAGCUUUUAUUUUAAACAUUUGGGUUGGAAUCAAAGUAGGAUUUAGAUUUGUAAUCAUGUUAUAAUUAGGUUUAGAUUAAGACACCUUUGAUGCAGUCUUUUAUUCAGCUUUUGAUUUUCCUUCAAUUAUUUCCUCUCUUCUCUGUUUCUCUCUUGGCUUUGCUUCUUCUUUCCCCUAGCUUUUGCUUCUUCUUCUUCUUCUAUUACUCUACAAAUCUCUACUGUUCUCCGUCAUAUUUGGUAUCAAAGCAAUCUUUUUUAUUGUUCCGCAUCAGCUCCCCUUGCCUUUUUCUUUCUUCCUUUUUCCUUUUUCCUUUUUUUUUUCUUUUUCAAAAUGGCUGUUACCACUACUUGAACCCAUGACAUUUUUGUCACAAAAGAACAAGCUUACAGUCACUAGCAAGGCUCACCCUAAAAAAAUAAAAAUAAAUACUGACAAAAGAAAUAACACACAGAAAUUAAUUCUAUUAUCACAAAGAAAAGAGGUUAGAUCUGAAUGUAGUCUUAACCAUUGUUGUGAUAUUGUUCAGGACAUAAUACCAGAUUUAUCCCUGGUACAACACCCUAUUCAAGUACCAUUUCAAGAGCAUAUCCUAAACACAAUUUAACAUUACAAAAUAACAAUAGAUCUAAAUCUACAUAACAAUUAAUGUAAAUCAACAUUUAAUUGACUUAGAUAUUCUAGGUUUUAAAAGACUAAAUAAAUGAUAAAGACACAAGAUUCAGAGUGUUUCAAAAUACACAUAAACAUACAUAAUAUCCUAAGUUUUGAGAUUACAUAUAAACUCACAUUCGGGAUUAUAAAUAAACUUACAUAACAAUCAAAGUUUUCACAUGCAUAAACCAACAUAAAAAGUCAAUCAAAAACAUAGUUUAUGGAUCUUCAUGUCCUCCAAAAUAUGAAGUUCUCGCACAUCAACUGUACUAGCUCCUAUUUAGAUUCGGAAAACUGUCAUCGUCUCAUCAAAUUGAGGCCUUGUGAUCACCCAACAUCGAUGCUUCCAAAUCCAGAGGUUCAACAGUCUCCCAUACAAUGUCUUCCUUGUCAAGUAGAUUAGGUUCCUUUGACCUAAUCAUCCAACAAAUCUACAUUGUCAAGACUAAUUGGAUCAAGAGCACCCUUUCUUUGACUAAUAUUCCUACAAAUAUCAAAUAAACAUUUUUAUUUGAUUGAUCAAAAAUAUUUAGUCUUGAAUAAAGAAGACCAAUGCUUAAUAAAAAUUAAGAAAUUUACCUUUCUCUAAGUUUCAAGUUGUAAUGAAUGUAUACUGAAUCAUUUAGACUUUUAUGCUCUAAUCUGUUUCUUUUUAAUUGAUUACUCAAAUGUACUCCAGUUUCUUUCACAGCCACUUGUUCUACCACACUAGUUGAGGGUUCAGACAACAAAACUUUUAAACUCUAGACAAUCAAGACCAAAUUGUUCCCACUAUUUAUUCAACUAUAUAUCACAAAUGGUUAAAUAAUUAAUCAACUAAUAACGUUUCAACUUUCAAGUACUCAUGAAAAGAAAUGAAUUAUUUUUACAGAUAUUAAAAAUAUAAAUUUACUUGGAUUUAGCUUGUAUCAUUGAAGAAUGGUAACUGUUAAACCAAGGUCACCAUUUAUGUGCUCAUAUUCUUCAAGCUACUCACUAAUCAAACAUUGGGUUCUAUCAUUUCCCACCAAUUAUACAACAGUAUCAAGAAAUCCUCGAAAAACAUCCUAGUACAAGUAGGUUGAAAAUAAUUACUAGGAUUAAGAAAAACAACUUACAGCAUGAAGAGAGUUAUAAACUUGUUUGUCCCAUCUAGCAUUAAUAACUUUGACAAUAGGACCAUACAAUUAAAGCGUAUUUGUUCUCUCUUUAAAGGCAUGUUUUGCCCUAUCCAUUGCUUCAUACAAAUAUCCCAUGGUAGGCUUUUCUUUCCCUCAUGACACUAGCAUCUACUUGAUAGGCCCCUGGUUUACUUGAGUUAUCAAAGAAGGUCCAAGAGGCCGGGGGCAAGGGCAAGGGCAAGGGCAAGGGUGUAAAUUGGAUGGCUGGCAUAACAGCUAACCAUGUGCGUAGGGGUAGAGAAGGGAAAUUACUAGGUUGUGUAACAACCUAGCAAGUGUGUAACAGAUUUCUGUUGAGGAGGAGGGAGGGAAGAAUAUGUAGAGGGGGAAGAAGUUGGGGGAGGGGGAGAUUUCAUUCUUGUAUUGAGUCUUGGGAGAGUUAAGGGCCUCUCGAAUGCUCUGGAUUGUUCUUUUUUUCUUGUUGAAAAUUACUGAAAGCUAUUGAUAUUUGAUUGCUAUUGGAUUUCUAUCUGGUAUCCUAUCAAUUUGGUAUCAGAGCGUUAUCGAUCCUAAUGGUGAACUUGACGGACUGAGUAGCAAAAUUGGAAGGGAGGAUGGAAGGCAUGCAACGGGAACUUGAUUCCAUGAGGGGUGUGGUUUAAUCGGUGGGGAAGAAGGUAGCGAGGUUGCUAGAACGGUUCGCUUGGAUGAGAACGACGUGGGAAGAGCAAGAACAGGAGAGGAAGAACGAGGAGAGACGGGAAGACUAGGAGAAAGGGAGGAAGGGGAAACAAUCUGGCCAGCACUUACCAAUUGGGUCGUCCCUCAUUGAGAAGGCCACGCCGGAGCUGGGAAAUCGGCUCAAGGAAGCUAGUAGUGAGUAUGAUGUCUAUGGGAGGUCAGACGGAAGGGGCCGACGCCUGGAGAUGCCGGUGUUUGAAGAAGACGACCCGGACGGUUGGGAGUUUCGGGCUGAGUGGUACUUCUCUGUGAAUUAGUUGUCGGAUGUGGAGAAGUUAGACUUCGCUGCUCUCGGCUUUGAAGGAGCUGCUCUUGCUUGGUUUCAGUAGGAGCAGCGAAGGUGACGGAUGAGGAGUUAGGCGGAGCUUAAGGCGACAGGUGAAGAGUUGGGAGUUGCAGUGAAUGGGCUGGCUAAUAAGGAGAAGAUGGACAUAACAGCAUUGUGUUUGGAGGGUGUUGUACUUUCAUGGGUCCAGUGCGAGCAACGGAGACGAAGAGUGAGAAGUUGGGAAGAGUUGAAAGGGCUAUUGAGGAAUUGCUUAGGGUCCAUGUAGGAAGGCGCGAUGGAGAAGUCGGACGAGCUACAUAUUGAAGGGGGAUUGGCGGUUGAGCAGAACAUGGUGUCGCGAGGUGGAGUGGCUGCUGUCGACGAUGGCGUUGGAGAGUUCUCCAGUGAGGCAAAAAGGCAGCCGACGAUCGGUCCAUUUAAAAUGCCACGGACGGCUGAUCCGGUGACAGCCACGAAGAGCAUCUGGCCGAGGGUUGGGGCGCCAUCAACAGUCCUUGAUGUCUGGGAAGCUGGUUUGACUCUUAGCCAGGUUUCUCAGAGAAUUUACAUGGGGCUGAUUGAUAAUGGAGGGCCCCCCAUGUAUUCUCACCAUCAUGAGGGGGUGGGUGCCUCGUCCAAGUAGGUCAUGAUGGUGGAAGGGUAGCAUGUUUCUAGAAGUCAAGGGCUUAAUUUGCAUUCUGUUGUGGAGCCCAAUGAUAUAGAAGUUCCGCUUGUAUGUAUCAUCCUGAUUAGUUUGUUUGCCCUUCAACAUUAUGGCACCCACAAGGUUGGGUUCUUGUUUACACCCAUUAUCAUGAUCAUAGUUAUCAAAGGCGCGCGCCUAGGCGCGAGGCGCCUUAAGGCGCCAGUUUGGCGCCUCGCCUGGGCCGAGGUGAGGCGGUUUUGGCGAGGCCCUCGCCUUGCGCGCUUAGGCGCUGGGGCGUGAGGCACGCCUCAUGAAACUGAGGUCUUCUACUAAAUCUUGCAGCCCAAUCGCGCUUGCCUCUCCUCUCGACUGCAUCCAGCCGCGCUUGCCUCUCCUCUCCAGCUCGCUGCUCGCUCCUCACUCCUCCCGACUAUAGCAUUUGCCGCGCUUGCCUCCCCUCUCCAGCUCGCUACUCGCUCGCCCGAUCUUCCUCUUCCUCUCUAGCCCCAGUCGCGCCUGCCUCCUAUCUUCCUCUUCUCUCCAGCUCGCCCUCGCCCGAUCUUCUUCUUCCUCUCCUCUCUAGCUGUGACCCCCUCCUCUCUUCCUCUCCAGCUCGCCCGAUCUUCCUCUUUCUCUCUAGCCCCAGCCGCGCCUGUCUCCUCUCUUCCUCUUCUCUCCAGCUCGCCCUCGCCCGAUCUUCUUCUUCCUCUCCUCUCCAGCUGCGACCCCUUCCUCUCUUCCUCUCCAGCUCGCCCGAUCUUCCUCUUCCUCUCUAGCCCCAGUCGCGCCUGCCUCCUCUCUUCCUCUUCUCUCCAGCUCGCCCUCGCUCGAUCUUCUUCUUCCUCUCCUCUCCAGCUGCGACCCCCUCCUCUCUUCCUCUCCAGCUCGCCCGAUCUUCCUCUUCCUCUCUAGCCCCAGCCGUGCCUGCCUCCUCUCUUCCUCUCCUCUCCAGCUUCCUCUCCUCUCCAACUGCGACCCCUUGAUCUUCCUCUUCCUUUCCUUUCCACUCUCCAGCAGCGCCUGCCUCCUUUCCAGUCUCUAGCCGCGCCCUCUUCUUCUAUUCUCCUCUGCCGAGUCUGCCCAUGGUCUUCUCCUCUCUUCCUCGCCUCUCUUCUCAUAUGCUCUUGAGCUCUUCAAGUUGAAGCUGCUAAGGGCCUAAGGCUGCCCACGUCUUCUCCUAUAUUCAUAAUUUCAUAUUGUAAGUUCUUUACUUGUAUUUUAUUUGUUUAUUUCUUGCAUUUUUGCCUAAUUUAUUUUGCUGGCAAUUGGUUGCUGAAAUUUGCUUUAAGUCUUUAUAGUUUAUUUCUAUCAUUAGGAGAAUUUUGUGGAAAUUGGAACUGUGUUGCAACAGCCCAAUAAAUGUCGUCAACCACUUCCAAAACGGACCCGGCAUGGAAUUAUUUUGAAGCUGAUCCUAAUGAUAGAAAUACCACCACAUGUAAAUUUUGUCGUAAAGUAACAAAAGGUGGUAUAUUUCGGGCGAAACAACAUUUUGUUGGCGGUUUUAGGAAUACUAAAGGUUGUCCAAAAUGUCCUCCGUCAGUAAAAGAAGAGAUUGGAGAGUACAUGCAAAAGAAGAAAAAUAACAGGGAUGAGCAAAAUAUAGUAUCGUUAGAUGAUGAUCUUCAAUUUGGUGAAGGGUAUGAUGAUGAUGAUGAUGAUGAGCCGUUGCCUCAAAGUAGAAAAAGACCCAAUGUAUCUACCGGAAGUGGAAGCGGUACUGUUAGGGUUGGUAGUGUUAAAGGGCCAACACAAAAGGGUCCACUUGAUGUUUUUCUUAAAGACCCAGAAGUUAAUGUGUUGAAAAGCAAGGGCAAAGGAAAGCAAACAAGGUUGGGUGAGCAUGAUUUUGCAAAAAAAGAGUUAAGAGCUCGAGUUUGUAGAAGCUUUGCACGAUGGAUGUAUGAUGCAGGCAUUCCAUUCAAUGCAGUGACAUAUGACAGUUUUAAGGUAUUUAUAGAAGCAGUUGGUCAGUAUGGUCUGGGUGUGAAGCCGCCUAGUUACCAUGAAGUCAGGGUUCCCCUUCUCAAACAAGAGGUGGAAGCCACUCGUGAAAUGAUGAAAGAUCAUGAAGAGGCGUGGGCCAAAUAUGGAUGUUCCAUUUUGUCAGAUGGCUGGAAAGACAAGAGGGAAAGGACAUUGAUUAACUUUUUAGUCAAUUCUCCUAAAGGAAGUAUGUUUUUGGAGUCUGUUGAUGGUUCUAGCUAUUCAAAGACUGGGGAAAAGAUGUUUUAAUUAUUAAGUAAAUGUGUGGAAAAGAUUGGAGUAAGAAAUGUGGUGCAAGUGGUCACUGAUAGUGCUUCAAACAAUGUUUUAGCAGGAAGAUUUUUGGAGGCAAAAUAUCCUACGUUGUUUUGGACACCAUGUGCAGCGCACUGCUUGGAUUUAAUGUUGGAAGAUAUUUUCAAGUUGCCUAAUAUGAAGAAGACAUUUGAGAGAGCUGUUAUGGUGAAUAGCUAUAUCUAUACUCGUUCGGGUCUAGUAAACAUGCUUAGAAGGUUUACUGACAAGAAAGAGUUGUUGAGGCCUGGGUUUGCAACUGUCUUUAUCACUUUGGGCAUGAUGUAUAGUCUGAAAAGCAACCUUAGAAAGAUGUUUACCUCCGAGGAGUGGAUGACAAGCAAGUGGGUAAAAGAAGCGAGGGCUAAAAAGGUUGUAGAAGUGAUUUUGAUGCCUUCAUUUUGGAACAAUGUUGUAUUUGCUUUAAAGGUGGCUGGUCCAUUGGUGCGUGUAUUGCGCUUAGUGGAUGGUGAGAAGAAGCCUGCUAUGGGAUACAUAUAUGAGGCCAUGGAUAGGGCCAAAGAAGCAAUUGCUAACUCUUUUAAUGGGGAUGAAAAGAAGUAUGCACCCAUUUUUCAGAUCAUUGAUAAUCGAUGGGAUGUUCAGCUUCAUCGCCCCUUGCACGCAGCUGGUUGGUACUUGAACGCAAAAUAUUUCUACAAGGCUGAACGUAUAGAUCCAGAGAUCAUGACUGGCUUAUAUGAAUGCAUUAGAAAGUUAAAUCCAGAUAUAAAGGUUCAAGACCAAAUUGAUGCUGAGCUUUCGAUGUAUAACAAUGCAGAUGGGUUUUUUGGAAACUAUAUGGCUAUUAGAAAGAGAGCUGAGAAAUCACCAGCUUCAUACUAAACGGAGAAACAGGCUUGAUCAACUUCAUUUAAACGACUCGGUGUUUGUGAAAUACAAUAGAGCAUUGAGGCGUCGGUAUCAAAUGCGUGAUACCAUUGACCCUAUCAUAUUGACCAACAUUGAUGAAAGCAAUGAAUGGUUGAUUGGAAAACUUGAUGAGGAGAAUGAUAAAGAUGAUGAAACUGUUUUUCCAGAUGACGUUGGGGAUGGGUUGACAUGGAGUAAUGUUGCUGCGGCUGCAGGAGUUGCAGAGCCUAGUUAUCAAUUUAGAACUAAACAAACUCGAUCACAAUUGGGAUCAACUUCGGCUUCGACUUCAAAGCGACGAGUAACUCAGGAGAUUGAAGAGGAGGAGGAAAGUGAGGCAGGGACCGAAGAUGAUGAAGACUUGGAAGAGGGAGAAGAAUUGAGAGAUGAAGAAGAAGAUGAAGGGGUGAUUGAAGGGGAUGAUGAAGAUAUUGACCUUGAUGUUGAUGAUCUCCUUGAUGAUGAUUGAUUAAAAAACUUCUUUAUAUUGAUUGUGGAUUUGUAGUGUUUAUGUGUUUGUUUAAAACUUUGCAUUAUAAUUGGUACUUGGUAAAGUUUGAGACUUUAAGUUUGAACUUUGAUGAUGUUUCUAGUUUAGAAUUUGCAUGAUGAAUGAAUUAACUUUGAUGAUGUUAGUUUAUAGAAUUUGAAGAUAAUGAAUCAUGAAUGAUAUGAAUGUGUUAUUAUUGAUAAUUUGAUAGUUGUUUUAUGAUUUUACAAGAUUUUGAGUUUUUUUCCUAAAAGGUGUGCCUCGCUUCGCAAAGGCGCGCCUCGCCACGUGCGCCUCGCGCCUCGCCUCAUGCGCCUCGCGCCUCAGGCUCCAGGACCUUUUGCGCCUCGCGCCUUUCAGAACUAUGAUCAUGAUGUGGCUGUUGUGCAUCAGUGCUCUUGGUCUAUAUAACAUCUUUCAUUGGAACCAUAAUGUCUACAAAGCACUAUACCCAUAUUACAUGUACAAGUUUUUUAAGAAAACCCGAAGAGAUGGCUGGAUGUCCUUGGGUGGCGUCCUAUUAUGCAUAACUGGUUCAGAAGCUAUGUUUGCAAAUCUAGGACACUUCUCACAGUUGUCAAUCAAGAUUGCAUUCACAUCCCUGGUUUACCCAUCCUUAGUACUGGCAUAUAUGGGACAAGAUGCUUAUUUAUCUCAGCACCAUGAUAUUAGACAUGACUAUCAAGUGAGAUUUUAUGUUUCUUUACCUGAGAAACUAAGAUGGCCAAUUCUGGUAGUUGCAGUUGUAACACCCCCUCUCCUAGAACUGCCCGAGAAGAGGUGCUUUGGGGAAAACAAAAUAAAACUAACUGAUAAACUGAAAUCUGAUACCAUGACUGAACAUCUCAAUCAAUUGGAAUAAAAACUCUGAGUUAAUACAGACUGAAAAGCACAAACUCUGUCUAAGGGACAAUCCCUCAACUGAAAUAUAAAAUAGAUCUAAACUGAGAGAACACUAUAAAACUCAACAGACUCCCGGACAUCUUUUAUCUUGAGCGGCUCCACGUACACACACUAUAGACCAUUGCUGCUAGGCCCCACAUCUGGUACUCCCCUGCUAGAACCUGGAGGGGUGAAGAGUACAAGGUGAACUACAAAAGCUCAGCAAGUAAUAAGCUAGAAAGAAUAACUGAAGCUGAAUCGAAGAAUAUCGAUAUCGAUAAAUAACUUACUGAACUUGUACUGAAUAAUCACUGCCUGAUUGCAUUCAUAAAAAAAUGUAAUGCACAUAAACUGUAACUAAAUGUAGGUAUGCAACUUUGGCUCAUAGGCCCACAUAAUCUGAUAAAACAUACCUGACUGAUCUGAAUCUUGUAAACAGAAAAACUGUAAGCACAUAGUGUAGGCAAUAUGCCCCUGGCCCCCUAGUGGCCACUAGGCGGGCAACUCAUAAACUGAGCUGAAACUGAAACUGAUGGGAUCCCCGCGGACAAGCCGCCUAGUGCGCAUAAUGCAAUGCAAUGCUCACAUAAAUGCUGGCACACGAUAUGUAGUGCUCCAUAUAAAGUCAUGCUCAAUGCUCAUACAAAUGUGUAUGCACAUAAUCCCACAAAAUAAUGCUGAUCAUGUCAUAAUUAACUGCUAAACAUGGUAUAUGAUUUUUACAAGCCAUAUUGAGAUACAAAGAUUUUGAAAUUUCUGAGUAUAGGCAUGGCAUAUUGGAUUUUAUCAUAUCUUGGCAUAAAAAUUCAAUAUUUAAAUUAUUGAAUAUUUAUAUUAAAUUUAAGACUUGCAUUAAGAAUUUAUUGGAAGCCAUUCGGAUGCCAUAUGAUACUAUUCGGUUGAUUGAGGAAGUAUAAGGAGGCAAUUCGAAUGAAACAACAGCCCAUUCGAAUGAAAAAAAUGGACUAUAGCAAGCUCAUGCGAAUGGUAGAAACUCAUUCGAAUGACAGAGGCUCAUUCGAAUGAUAGAUAAUAUAUAACAGAGGCUAUUCGGAUCUGAUCAAUGACUCAUUCGAAUGACUCACAAAUUCAUUCGAAUGAAUUUUGACAACUUCCAACUUUUGAACUGGCAAAAAGCGACUCAUUCGGAUGCAACAGUACCCUCAUUCGAAUGAAUUAAUGGGAUACUCACGGGUCAUUCGAAUGACAAAGAGACUCAUUCGAAUGCUAGACUAUACAAAGCAACAACUUAUUCAAAUCUUCAAGGACUCAUUCGAAUGACAAGAAAACUCAUUCGAAUGACAGUCUCAAAACUUCAAAAACACAUAUGAAUGAUACAAUAACACAUGACUCAUUCGAAUGACUGAUAAAUUAUAAGGGAAAAACUUACGAUAACACUGAAAACUCAUUCGGAUGCCUCAAAACUCAUUCGAAUGACACAAGACUCAUUCGAAUGACUGGAAUCUCAUCAGAAAUAAAACCCACGAUAACAGAGACUACAUCUUGAAUCAAAACUUAACAUCACUACACCAUUCCAAAAGAAAUCUUGGGAGAACAAUCCCAAUUGACACGAACUAACUUAAGGAUGAAUUAGAGAUCGUUUCUGAAAGCAAACGCUGAAAGAUUUAUGCACCAGUUAUCAAACUCACUAGGUAUGGAUAUAACUGCACAUAUACAUACGCCUGUAAACACAACUGAUAAAGAUCUAGGAACAAGAACGAAAAGUCUUGUUUAAUCUGAGAACAUAUGCUAACAUGAUUUGGAGAUCAUAUUUAAAAGAAUUGCUACAAGAAUCAUGCAUAACUUCUUCAUGCACUCACUGUUAUACACACACACAUAUAGAUAUAUAUAUAUAUACAUGCACUGUCUGUAACAACUAAAACUCAACAAAAGAGUUACUGAAAACUGAGAUUUAACAUUGAUUCAUGAUCCCGUAAGAAUGUUUUACAGGGAUAGAUGCUUGCUCAAUGAAGCCUUUGAUACGCUAAUCUAAACAUGCACAUAGGAAUAUAUAAACUGGCUGAUAAACUUAAACUGAGAAUCAAAACGAGAGUCUUAAAAAUUUUGAAAUCGAACUAUCAUGAUCCUGUAAUGAAAGGGAUUACAGGAAGAUUACUUGCCUUUCAAUCUCUCUGAUUGGAUCAACGAAGCUUGCAAACUAUCCUUUACUAGACAUUGAUGCUGCUCCCAGACUUCUCUAUUCUUCAUGGCGUGAAGAAACUAAAGCUAAUGGGCUAUACAUAGGUAUAAAACCCUAGAUCCCACUCCUUUUAUAAUUUGGAUUUUCUUCUCCUAAUAUAACUAGGAGACUUCUCAAUCCCAAUCCUAUUCACGCAUGGAUAUCUCAAUCCUCAUAUCAUAUGGAUUUUCAAUCCCUUAAUCACAAUAACUUUAAUUAAUAAUUAAAUUCUAAUAACAAAUCUCUAAAUGACCUUUAUGUCCUAGCAUUUAAUUUCCACAAUAUAUAACUAGAAUUAAAUGCUCUUUAAAUACUAUUCUCUCAAUUGAAAAUCUAAAUUGCCACAUUGGCAAAUUCCUUUAACUCCAACAUUAAAAAGAAAUAAAUGCUAUUCUUUUCCUUCAAAAUCUUUAAAUUACCACAUUAAAUAAUUAAUUGGCAAAAUCUCUUAAUCAAAUACUUCAACAAUUAAUUAAGUAAUUCCUGAAUAAAUACUGGCCCCUCUAAUGGGUCGUUACAGCAGUACUUGUUGCAAUUGUGGGAAGCCAAGCCAUCAUCACUCGGACUUUCUCAAUCAUCAAGCAAUGCUCUGCCCUGGGUUGCUUCCCAAAAAUCAAAAUAGUUCACACAUCAUCCAAAAUACACGGCCAGAUUUACAUCCCAGAGAUUAACUGGAUCUUGAUGCUAUUGUGCUUGGCUGUUACUAUUGGUAUAGACCCAAAGAUCUUAAAUAUUGAUGGGAAUUUGGGCAUGAAAGUUAUUUACGGAGGAUUGGUUGCUGCUGUUUUAAGAAACUUGAAGAUGUGGAUCAUGUUUAGGGUGCCAAUAGGCUCUUUAGAUACACCACCUGUAGUUUAUGAACAAGACCAUCUUUUCUCCAAAGUUAAAAUGAGAUGUCAUUUGAUGGCCGUGGUUGCUGAGGUUGACCAGAUUCUCAGCCUAGAAGAGGAACUAAUUGUUCGCGACAAGGUGGAAAUCAUCAACGAGGUGGAGGAAAGGAUUGGGGGCCCGGCAUACAAGCGGUCUCUACCCCCAUCAUAUGUGUUAAGAGGUGCUGAUACAAUGGAAGGGGCUACCCCCAUUGGAACCUUACCAUUUGAUCUAGCAACAACAUCCAUUUUUCCACCUUGAGGACAAGUUGAAAGUUGGGGGUGAUAGGCCCCAGGUUUACUUGAGUUAUCAAAGAAGGUCUAAGAGGCAGGGGGCAAGGGCAAGGGUGUAAAUUGGAUGGUUGGCAUAAUAGCCAGCCAUGUGCGUAACAGAUUUCUGUUGAGGAGGAGGGAGGGAAGAAUAUGUAGAGGGGGAAGAAGUUGGGGGAGGGGGAGAUUUCAUUCUUGUAUUGAGUCUUGGGAGAGUUAAGAGCCUCUCAAAUGCCUUGGAUCGUUCUUGUUUUCUUGCUGAAAAUUACCGAAAGCUAUUGAUAUUUGAUUGCUGUUGGAUUUCUAUUUGGUAUCCUAUCACUACUCUUCCAUGAUAGUCAUCAACAACUUUCAACAACUUCCAAAGUAGCUGGGCUUUGGAGUACAGAUGAUCAGUGACCAUUAGCAGUGAACUUACUGCAGUCUGGCACCUUUGCUGGCCUUUGGCAAACCACAAGCAAGAAAGAAAAAGAAAACAUCGUAAACAAAAUUGAAAAUAAAUGGAAGUUAUUAUAAACAUGUUUAGUUUUAUUUUUCUAAAAUGAAAAUGAAACAACAUGCCAUGCCUUUAUCCCACUGUGUGGAGUCAACUAUCUAAGAUGAGAAGAAAAAUUGCACAAAAAAGAAACGAAAAUUGAAGCUAAAAGUUGAAAGCUCUGUCAAACAACUCCUUAGAAACAAUCGAGCUUUCUAGUAACAGUUUUCCUUCUAAUGAUUGAACAAUGUUGAAAGUUGAUGCACAUUCUAGAAAUUAAGAGAAGAUGAUUUCAAGAGAGAAAUCUAGAGACUUGGAGGAAAAUAUACAAAAGCAAAGAAAAGUCUAAAAACUAUUAGUUUUUCCUUAAGUAAGUAGAAAACUACAAAGACCUAAGAAAAUAUCUAGAUCUAGAACCAAUUAGGAAUUAUUAUCUAAGAAAAAUGAAGAAUUCUCUAGAAAAUUGGUGAAGCAACCAUGGAGGCCUAUAAAUAGGCUUGGGGGGCCAUAUAUAAGGCAAGCCAAAAAUCCUACAAACCAAUUGCCUCCCAAAGCUUCCUACCAAAGUUCUCUACCAUCUUUCCAAUUUUGGGGAGAAGGGCUCCGACACAACCAUUGUAAUAUCACUUCCAUCAAUACAAUUAAUUUUUUACUUGAACUACUUCAAUCCAAUUUCUUUCCCUUUAAACCUUUCUAAUCAUCAACCACUAAAAUUCCAACAAUUGGUAUCAGAGCCAGGUUCGUUCACUACUGGGGGUAGUCUUCCUCUUUCCAUAAAAAAUUUCAUCCUUCUAUUUCCAAAUGGCUGAGUGACUUGGGUCCAAUAACUCAUAUGUUCCAGUCUGCAUUCCAAUCUUUCGUGGAGACAACUAUGAUUUGUGGUCCAUAAAAUUGAGGACAUAUGUCACGACUAUGCUAUUUUAAUUUUCGUUUUUUUCCUUACUGUUUGCUGUUAGGAUUCUUGUUGCAUUGCUAUUAGUGUUGUAUUUUAAUUUCCAGCUGUCAGUUUGUUAGAAUCAAAAGGCCACGUGUGAGGCCUUAGGAAAAGGACAAAAGAUUUGGUUGUAACUGCUUGGAGGGGGAGCAAUCUGCUGCAUCCGCACCCACUCAAGCGAGUAUAUCAGCCCUUCCAACUUUGUGGGAGAGCCAAUGAACAAUUAAUAGAACAGUUUUCUCAAUUAUUCUCCCUCAACAUUCUUUCUUCUCUCUCCCCCCUCUCUACAUUCUUCCCUACCUCCGUUCUACCCUUGAAUCUCACUGAUUCAAGGUAAACAUCAUUGUCACAUCGUGACAACAUAUUUUCUGUCCCAUAAAUCCUUCAAUUCUUUUAGUUGAUUAUCCUUAAAUUCCUAAGGAUAAUCAGUUUGCUGGAGAAUAAAUAGCGCCUGUGAAUCCUUUAGUUGAUUAUCCUUCAAUUCCUUUCUCUGAGCAAUUGACAUAGUGGAUACAUCUCUAGGGAUUGUAAACCCUUCACUAACAAUGUUCCAUAAAUCUUGGGACAGAAAAUGUCCUCAUUUUUAUGGACCAAAAAUCAUAGUUGUCUCCACGAAAGAUUGGAAUGCUGAUUGGAACAGAUGAGUUAUUGGACUUGACCAUUUGGAAAUAGAAGGAUGAAAUUUUUUAUGGAAAGAGGAAGACUAAGCCUAGUAGUGAAUGAACCUGGCUCUGAUACCAAUUGUUGGAAUUUUAGUGGUUGAUGAUCAGAAAGGUUUAAAGGGAAAGAAAUUGGAUUGAAGUAGUUCAAGGUUUUAGAAUUGAAAAAAUUAAUUGUAUUGAUGGAAGUGAUAUUACAAUGGUUGUGUUGGAGCCCUUGUCUCCAAAAUUAGAAAGAUGGUAGAGAACUUUGGUAGGAAGCUUUGGGAGGAAAUUGGUUUAUAGUUUUUUUGGCUUGCCUUAUAUAUGGCCCCCCAAGCCUAUUUAUAGGCCUCCAUGGUUGCUUACCAAUUUUCUAGAGAAUUCUUCAUUUUUCUUAGAUAAUAAUUCCUAGUUGGUUCUAGAUCUAGAUAUUUUCUUAGGUCUUUGUAGAUUUCUACUUAAGGAAAAACUAAUAGUUUCUAGACUUUUCUUUGAUUUUGUAUGCUUUCCUCCAAGUCUCUAGAUUUCUCUCUUGAAAUUAUCUUCUCUUAAUUUCUAAAAUGUGCAUCAACUUUCAACAAAUAUUUUAAUAUGUGGAUACGAUAAAGUAUCUAAUGUACAUUGCAAGAUAGUUUGAAGGCCAAAUACUAAGCUGGUCAUCAUGAACCUUAAUUACAAUUUUGUGUUGUGUUCCUUAAUUUUGGACCUAUAGUAUAUGAGCUUGUGAUAUAUUUAUAUAUAUAUAUAUAUAUUCACAUGCGCGCACACACACAUAUAAUUGAUUUAUUCUCUUAUCCUGUAGUCCUUGUUGACUC